CCUAUCCUAGGUAUUCCUGAAAGAGGUGGGGUUUCAGGUGUCUCCGGAAGUCUCCGGAAUUCUGAUGACACUGACAUGAUCAUUGGCAUGAAUAUUUACUUUUGAGAGAUGUACUAAGGAUUUUUAGUGACUGACUAGCUUUAGAAACAUAUAUAUUGUAUAUUGCAGUUUGUACAAAUUGUUCUGAGAAAUGCACUUACUAUUUUGCACAUGUUAGGGAUGAGUUGAAAAAUGCACCAAAGCGACGGAGAAACUGUAAUAAAUGGAAAGCACAAUGUUCAGGGCCAUACAAUGUGUCCAUUGUACAGUAUACAGCCUCCAAUGCACUGUACUACAGUAUCCAUUCUCAGACUUUCUCCUUCCCACCUUCAACAACCUGUUUGCUCCAUGAACUGGCUUAUAUUGGUUGUGUUCGCAUCAUAUGAAACAGGUUAAAUCAAUUUAGAGUGGUUGUGUUCAAUCAAUGACAUAUGUUCUCUAUUUGUAUUUGAUUGUUGCCACUUGUGUUUACCAGUAUGGAUGACAUGUGCAUUAGAGUGCAGAAUGUGUUUUGAGAAUGAGAAUGUGUUUAAAUAGAGUUUUGCUGAAAAGUCUAAGUGACAUCUGCAAAUUGUGUUUUACCAUGUGAAAUCCCGGUUUACUAGCCGCUACCGAUCCCUUUUUCUUUUUCUGGUUGUUUUGUCUGUGUUCCUUUUCACACCUGGUUUCAAUUGCUUUGAUUUCUGUGGGUAUAUAGGGCACCUGUUACCUGCCGUAAUUCGUGCAGGAUUAAGUUUGUGAGUAUUAGCGUUCAGUAUUCUAUGCGGUUUAUUGUUUUCGCAUUGACGUAUGUGUAUGUAGUGUCGGAACUGUGGUUGUUCCUCCGUGUCCUGACACGAGUUGGUUUUCCUUCGAGCGCGUAGUUUGGACAUUCAUCUGGGCCAAUUUUGUAUUGGUGGACUAUGUGUACAGAUCUCUACAUUAAACACGCUUCUCAAAGAAAAGCCCUGCUCUCCUGCGCCUGACUCCUACACCUCUCACCGAGACGCACUUUAUCACAAAGUGGCCGGAUUUUAUGUCAUCCACCCGGGAUAUGGCGUAUCUCGUUGGCCCUGGGGUCAACAGAAUAACAUUUUAACCAGACAGCCGACCUCUCCUCUCAGGUGGGGAUGAAGACCAGGACAAAUUCCCAUUCUUUGAACGGAAUGUACCAACAACCUCCGCAGGGCCCUGAAAAGAAGAAAAGGUGGCGCUACAAAGUAUUAACUUAAGGGGGCUGAAUAAUUUUGCACGCCCAAUUUUUCAGUGUUUGAUUUGUUAAAAAAGUUUGAAAUAUCCAAUAAAUGUCGUUCCACUUCA